UGGCGGCACCCGUGUAAAAUUUUGAAAGGUUCCCAUAUCAUCGUAGAAACACCACAUUUAGCAUAAAGAGAAGGUAGAAGAAAGCUGGUAUCGAACAGAACUGUUUUGUGAAUGUGUAGAAUUUGGCAAUACAACGAAUUAUUUCAACAAAAUGUAGAAGGCAGCUGGUAUUGAAGAGGAUGGUUUCGUGAAUGUCUAAGAUGUGGCGAAUCAGUGGAAAAGAUGAAUUAAAUGUGAGAAACGUAGAUGGUUUAGGAAACGCUUAAAUGUCAUGAGAAGAGAGAUUACAG
rnacentral:lncRNA from 1 species